rnacentral:ncRNA from 24 species
GCCUGUUCGAGCGUCAUU